rnacentral:other from 3 species
UAAUUCCUGAGAUGUGCGAUAAUCUUACCUUUUUUGAACCUACAUUAUGACAUAAGGGAUUCCAAUAUUUUCAGGCGGAUGUCAGGCCUCCGUUGUAGUGGAAGGCAGAUGCCUGAGUGAGGUUGCCCACCUAGCUUAGCUAGGCGUCAAUAAGUAAGAACCGGCAUUUUGGGGUUACA